GCAGUCGUGACCGAGUGGUUAAGGUGAUGGUCUAGAAAUCCAUUGGGGUCUCCCCGCACAGGUUCGAAUCCUGUCGACUGCG
rfam:Ixodes scapularis strain Wikel colony gcontig_1108379745800, whole genome shotgun sequence.